rnacentral:rRNA from 1 species
GAGUGGACGCAUCACUGGUGUUCGGGUUGUCAUGCCAAUGGCACUGCCCGGUAGCUAAAUGCGGAAGAGAUAAGUGCUGAAAGCAUCUAAGCACGAAACUUGCCCCGAGAUGAGUUCUCCCUGAGACCUUGAGUCUCCUGAAGGAACGUUGAAGACGACGACGUUGAUAGGUCGGGUGUGUAAGCGCAGCGAUGCGUUGAGCUAACCGAUACUAAUGAACCGUGAGGCUUAACCUUACAACGCCGAAG